AGCUUUGCUCAGUGGCAGUAUCAUAGCCAAUGAGGUUUAUUUGAGGCAAAAUUAUUGCUAAUUGAAAAUUGAGU
rnacentral:snRNA from 1 species